AAACACAGAAGAGGUGCAUUAACCAGGUAGUAGAUUCGAGGGCACAUUCCCGACGACGGUCUAUCAGGGGGUUAACUGCCGAGGAGUAAUCUGGAUUUGUGGCCAGUUUGCUUCGGUUCUAGAAGUUGAAUCUUCGGGACUGUCACCUGUUAUAGGUGGAGAGCUUCUGGCAGA
rnacentral:ncRNA from 2 species